UAUCUCAUCUGGAAUGAGAAUCAGAGUAAAACGUAGUUCGGCUAACUAGGGGUUAAGGAUUGCAAUCUUAACAUGGACUUACAAAAGAGGACACCAGUUGUGUCAGAGGAGGGUGGGAAGUGUGUUCAACGUCCUAGCAGUAGGUGCCGCAGCUCGCUGAAUCGAGUCUUAGGCAGUUACCUUUUUGCAAAAAAACGGACUGACAUGC
rnacentral:lncRNA from 1 species